GUCGCACGUGUGCGGCGGCGCGGCGAUCGUCCACCCUCAAGGAAAAAAAAAAUCGGAAUAUUUAUUCCCGACAAAAAAAGGAGAGACAAGGAAUUCUUGUCUCUAUAAGUGAAAAUAUGGACUGGGAGUCGCCACCUAGUAUUCUGGUUACUAGGAACCUUAACUGGUCUUUAGAGAUCGGGUACGGAGACUAGUUGCGUAAAGGGAAGGUAUUAGCACCCCAACUACGCCCUACCUAAGGUAGGCUGCAUUGUUUUAAUGUCUGAUAACAUCUAAGGUCGUGUUUUAUUGUUCGG
rnacentral:lncRNA from 1 species